rnacentral:rRNA from 1 species
GAUGAACGCUGGCGGCGUGCCUAACACAUGCAAGUCGAGCGAAAUCUUGGGAACUUCUUCCUCAUAGUUAGCGCCGGUCGCGUGAGUAACACGAGGGCAACCUGCCUUUCUGUUUGGGAUAACUUCGGGAAACGGGGGCUAAUAUCGGAUAACAUUGAAGCUACCAUGGCCAUCAAUUAAACGGUGGCCCUUAGCCACUAGUUACAGCUGGACUCGCGGUGGCUUAGUUAGUUGGUGAGGUAACAGCUCACCAAGGCGCCGGUGCGUAACUGAGCCGAGGAGGAGGACGAGCACACUGGGACUGAGACAACGCCCAGGCUCCCACCGGAGGGAGGAAUAGGGGAUCAUCCGCAAAGGGCGGAAAGCUUGCGGAACAACGCCGCGGGGGCGAAGGAAGGCUUCGGGUCGUAAAAGUCUGUUGUUAGGGAAGAACAAGUAGCGGGCGAAUAGGGCGCUGCCUUGACGGUACCUAACGAAAAAGCCACGGCUAACUACGUG